AGCUCUCUCAUUUUGUGGUUAAAAAUAUCAAUCCAAGCCGAUGCUUUCCUAACAGCUAGUAGUGGGGUGGUUGUUAUUACAGGGUUGUUUAUUUCCUGCUAAUCAGCUGCUUGCCUCCAGUAGAAAUGCUUGUGAAGCAGAAUUAUUCGUCUUUGUGAAAAGGUUCUGUAAACUGUUUAUUGAAGUGAAUCCUUACAGCAAUGAAAACAAUUCUCUGGUUUUACGCUGGUCCCUGUGGCAGCACAUAGCUUUCCCCCCGUCAUACUUGUGUCUACGCAUUUCAUUUCUUCGAGAAGAGCGCAUUCAGGAACUGCUUGACGAAUGUUUGCAAAUGGAGCAUCCCAUGCUGUAAAUAAUCUAAAUGCAGUGGUUGAAGGACUGAGGGAAAUGGAAAUUCUGAAGAACUUAGCUGGGGCAUCCCAUCAAGAUGAGCCACGGGGUUUGAUGAUAUUAUGGCAACUAUUAAUGAACAGGCAAGGCAAAGGGUUGUCAAGAGGAAAUUUGAAGGACACCAAGACACCUUGCAUUUCUAUUCAUCGCUGAUGUCCCCAAGGAGCUCUCCUAAGGGAAUCUAUGCUGCAUGUCAUGAGAGACUCCAAGUACAGAAUCCAUUUUGGAUCUGCUGGGACAGAAGGAGCAAAGUCCCCAAUUCGCACUGAACCCUGUGGCUCUGAGCAUCAGUGACUGAAUUCCCAGCACUACAAGAACUUGCAAAAGACAGUGACUGUGACAAUAUAAAACAGACAGUUUUUCCCUUACUUUCUGCACUUCCCUGAAUUUGUUGUUACCCUAGUGUUACCUUACUCUCAUCCACUUCCUAACCAAGAGGCUUCCUGAAGUUCUCAAACACAUUCUGAGGCAGAAAUAUAAAACUGAGUGUCAUCAGGACACCCUUUAGGCCAUCUGUCUUUUGGAUUAAAUUGAUCAUUUGUAAAACAGAAGUUAAUCUGCCUUUCUAUGAAGGCUCAGGGGCUGAAGAGCAAUUGUCCUGCCUUACCCCCAGGCUUUCUCUCUUCAAGGGUUUGCAAGUCAGUAGGUACCACAUCACUUUUAGCCCCAAAGUUUCUGUUAGAUCAAGGCAAGGACAUCUAAGGACUAGUAGGAGGUUCCUUAUCUCUAACAAGAGAUGCUGCUCCCUCUCAGUCACACAAAGUAGCUGGAAAAAACACGUAGCUUCACCAGCUGGCCAUGCAGAUGUAGACAUCUGAGACUGGGACUUGUAAGGCAGAGAUCUUAGUUUUGGGCUGCUUUUUUCUUGUUUCUCAUUAAGUCCCAGGAGUGAAACUACAGCCUUAAACUGAUUGAAUUUUUUCCAUCUCACCUUGAGGAGAGUAAAAAUUUCACCUGCAGAGUUUGAGGCUUUUCCUCUCUGCUAACGUGUGCAGAAAGUGUAAGGCUUGACUUCCCAGGGAACCAAAGGGAAGAGAGGCUUUCUACUACUAAAAAAGAGUUUCAUUUUAAAAGCCAAUUUUAAUCUCCUGUUUGAUACCCUGUCCAAGAAAGGGACAAAGCAGAGACUACCAUGUGUUUAAUGUUUCUAGUUUAGAAUAGAAAUAACUUUUGUUAGAAGUCAGUGAAUUUAGAAAAGGCUUUCUGUAAUGACAACAGGGAAUAUAGUUGUUUUCUGUGAUGAACUAGGAGCAGAUCAGACAAAAUCAGGAUGAUUUUGGAUCUUGACCAUAUAGAAAUUUGGUACUGUGGAAGAUAAAGACUGUAAUACUUUUUUUUUCUUUUUUUUUUUUUUUCUUUUUUUUUACUUUUUUUUUCUUUUCUUUAGUCUGUUCUUACAAUAGCUAAUAAUUUAUAUUUCAUUUUAGUUACUAUAUGGGUAUUGUAAAUGACCUUUUAUUUCUCUUCAUUAAGACACUGGUCAUAUUUGACUGUAACUUAUUGAGAUCAAUAAAUGCUUAAUGUGUUAACUUCA
rnacentral:lncRNA from 1 species